rfam:Otolemur garnettii contig176883, whole genome shotgun sequence.
GACGGUUUAGUGUGCCUGUAGUCUCAGCUACUUGGGAGGCUGAAACAGGAGGAUUGCUUGAGUCAAGGAGUUCUAGGCUGUAGUGCACUAGGCCGAUUGGGUGUCCACACUAAGUUCGGCAUCAAUAUGGUGAUCUCCCAGAGGUGGGGGGCCACCAGGUUGCGUAAGGCCACCAGUGUAGGUCAGAAAUGGAGCAGGUCAAAGCUCCCGUGCUGAUCAGUCGUGGUAUCGUGCCUGUGAGUAGCAACUGCCCUCCAGCCUGGAAAACAUGGUAAGACCCCCAUCUCU